CUGAGGCGUGAUGACGAGGCACUACGGUGCUGAAGCAACAAAUGCCCUGCUUCCAGGAAAAGCCUCUAAGCAUCAGGUAACAUCAAAUCGUACCCCAAACCGACACAGGUGGUCAGGUAGAGAAUACCAAGGCGCUUGAGAGAACUCGGGUGAAGGAACUAGGCAAAAUGGUGCCGUAACUUCGGGAGAAGGCACGCUGACACGUAGGUGAAGUGAUUUACUCAUGGAGCUGAAGUCAGUCGAAGAUACCAGCUGGCUGCAACUGUUUAUUAAAAACACAGCACUGUGCAAACACGAAAGUGGACGUAUACGGUGUGACGCCUGCCCGGUGCCGGAAGGUUAAUUGAUGGGGUCAGCGCAAGCGAAGCUCCUGAUCGAAGCCCCGGUAAACGGCGGCCGUAACUAUAACGGUCCUAAGGUAGCGAAAUUCCUUGUCGGGUAAGUUCCGACCUGCACGAAUGGCGUAAUGAUGGCCAGGCUGUCUCCACCCGAGACUCAGUGAAAUUGAACUCGCUGUGAAGAUGCAGUGUACCCGCGGCAAGACGGAAAGACCCCGUGAACCUUUACUAUAGCUUGACACUGAACAUUGAGCCUUGAUGUGUAGGAUAGGUGGGAGGCUUUGAAGUGUGGACGCCAGUCUGCAUGGAGCCGACCUUGAAAUACCACCCUUUAAUGUUUGAUGUUCUAACGUGGACCCGUGAUCCGGGUUGCGGACAGUGUCUGGUGGGUAGUUUGACUGGGGCGGUCUCCUCCUAAAGAGUAACGGAGGAGCACGAAGGUUGGCUAAUCCUGGUCGGACAUCAGGAGGUUAGUGCAAUGGCAUAAGCCAGCUUGACUGCGAGCGUGACGGCGCGAGCAGGUGCGAAAGCAGGUCAUAGUGAUCCGGUGGUUCUGAAUGGAAGGGCCAUCGCUCAACGGAUAAAAGGUACUCCGGGGAUAACAGGCUGAUACCGCCCAAGAGUUCAUAUCGACGGCGGUGUUUGGCACCUCGAUGUCGGCUCAUCACAUCCUGGGGCUGAAGUAGGUCCCAAGGGUAUGGCUGUUCGCCAUUUAAAGUGGUACGCGAGCUGGGUUUAGAACGUCGUGAGACAGUUCGGUCCCUAUCUGCCGUGGGCGCUGGAGAACUGAGGGGGGCUGCUCCUAGUACGAGAGGACCGGAGUGGACGCAUCACUGGUGUUCGGGUUGUCAUGCCAAUGGCACUGCCCGGUAGCUAAAUGCGGAAGAGAUAAGUGCUGAAAGCAUCUAAGCACGAAACUUGCCCCGAGAUGAGUUCUCCCUGAGACUUUAGUCUCCUGAAGGAACGUUGAAGACGACGACGUUGAUAGGCCGGGUGUGUAAGCGCAGCGAUGCGUUGAGCUAACCGGUACUAAUGAACCGUGAGGCUUAACCUUACAACGCCGAAG
rnacentral:rRNA from 1 species